GGACCUGGAGCCACCACAGCACGAGUGUCAAACACUGACAGAAGCCCAUGGGUGGAAGAAAGACCUCUGUGACUGUCUGAUUGACCCCUGCUGAAAGCCGAGGAGCUUGUCCACAGACGGGAACAGUUCUCUUCACGAAUAAAGGUCAGAGACAAGUGGGUGCUGCCAUGGUAGACAACACAAUGUCAACUAGAAUGGCUGAACCCCAACCCCCCAGCACAUCAGCGCCACAGAUGCCUUUGCCAUCUCUUAGAUGCCCUGAUGAAGCCAACAACUGUGAGUACUAUUCAUUGCUCAGGAUAUCAGGAGGAAAGAGAUUCAGUGACAUGGGACAGUAACAAAACAGAUAAAGUGGCUCGAGAAAUGGCUAUACAGGAGCCUAUCCUGGUUACAGGCCUACAAGAGACAGCCACUGGGAACUGGGAUUAGACUAAGGGAUGGCCUCACUUAGAAUGUACAACAGAAGAAAAGGCCCAAGUUGUUUAAAAGAUAAAAAGACAAUGACACACUUGGGGAGAAAGCUGUACCCCCCCCCCCAAAGAACAAACAAAAGACUCACUUUGCCAAAUUAAGAAAUGGACUCAUUUAGGAGAUAAGAAGUUUGUCCAAAUAGUUAAAAUAUAUGUAAUAGACUUUAAGAUUUUAGCCAAGAGAGACAGUAAAAAGUAUAAGAUAUGUCAGUAAGUGAAUGCUUAACAAACAAACAAGACAAAGAGACCUAGAGAGUUUAAUAAAAAGUCAAAGUGAACUUCACUGAGAUAAAACCAGAAAAAAUAUAAUCACAAGUAUCUCCUAGUGCUUGUAGAUACUUUUUCAGGAAUAGAUAGAAGCUUUCCUCACCAAACGAGAGACGGCCUCUACAAUCAUCAAGAAGAUACUGGAAGAAAUCUUCCCCAGGUCUGGAAUGCCCAAGGUAAUCUGGUCAGACAACGGCCCUACUUUCGCCGCCAAGGUAAGCCAGGGUGUGGCCAAGUAUUUAGAGGUCGAUUAGAAAUCACAUUGUAUUUACAGACCUCAAAGCUCAGGACACGUAGAGUAAAUAAAUAAAACUCUAAAAGAGACCCUGACCAAAUUGACCAUGGAGACUGGCACAGACUGGGUGACACUCCUUCCCUCUUGCUCUCUUCAGAGCAAGAAAUACCCCUUCCAGACUCAGCUUUACCCCCUUUGAGAUCUUAUAUGGGGCCUAAGCUCCCCUGACUGUAUUAGAUGAUGUUACUGAACCAACAUGUCAUAGUGCCAUAGUAAUAAUGAUUUGUGUGCCAGGCUAAAAGACCUACAGGUGAUACAGAAAGAAAUCUGCUCACAGCUGACAGCAGCCUAUGCCCCGGAGACCCCUGAGACAUCCCAUCAGUUCCAGGUCGGAAGCAGCUACACUGAGCCCAGACACUCGAGCCUCGCUGGAAAGGACCGUACCUGGUGCUGCUGACCACCCUGACAGCCGUCAAUUCUCAGCCCUCACCAGCCGUGUACUAGCUGUUAGGGCUGAGAGCUGGGACCUAGAGGGAAAUUCAGUCAUGUUUGUCCUGGGUUCUAUCAAGAUAGGUGUGGGAUAGGCUUGAUUUCUAUUACAAAUGAUGUAACAUUACAUAUGUUAAUACUCCUAACACUUCUUGGGACUGUGCCUCAGGGAUCACAACCUAUAUAAGUUUAGAAGUUCUGAAAGACAGUCAUGACCUUGGUAUAUAGGUUUAGAUAGUGUCCAGAUAAAAUCCUGAUGCUAAAGACUUUUUAGCUGACCUCCAAGAAUACCUAACCUCCCUCUCAGAGGUAGUCCUUCAAAAUAAGAAAAGAUUAGACCUGAUAUUCCUUAAAGAAGGAGUCUGUGUGCUACACUGAAAGAAUGUUGCUUCUAUACAGACCAUUCAGGAGUAAUUAAAGACUCCAUAAAUAAACUUAGAGAAAGGUUAGACAAAAGACAGACAGAAAAACACAUCAGAGAUGGUUCGAGAGCUAGUUUAGUAGAUCUCCCUAGAUGACUACCCUACUCUCUGCUACAGCUGGGCCAUUAUUAAUAAUUUUCUUGGUUUUAGUCUUUGGCUCCUGCGUGACAAACAGGUUAAUUGCUUUUGUUAAAAAUUGAGUGGGUGCUGUGCGGUUGAUGGUUGUGAGACAACAGUACCAGUCAGUUAGGACAACUGGUGAGACCAAAUAAGACUUGAUAUCAAAAUUCUAAGAUUAGAAUUAUUUAGUAGGAGAAGACGGGAAUGAAAAGAAAAUUAUACAAAUUCUAGGUUUAGAAAUAUAAAAUUAAAAGAGUUAGCCCCAAAAGCCACAAACUCAGGGCUAAGCCCUGCCGCCAGGAAUAGCAGGCCAUAAAGAUAAAGAAAAGGAAUGCAGGAUCCAGCUCAGGCUAUCGAGGACUGACCCAUAAACCAUCCAAAGACGUCCCCCCAGCUUACUCAGAGUCAUACUUUAACCAGAUGUCCUCCAGACCCUGAUAAGCCCCUACUUGUGCUUUUCAGCCAUUGUGUCCUGCAGAGAGCACUCCAAGAAACCGGGCAGCCCAAGCCUAACCAGAGGUGUUUCAAAUACAAAUGCUCCAUCAGUUUUGACAAACGUUUAAAAAUAAUGAGGACCUGAAGACCCUACCCUUCUCCUGAUUUAGUAGCUCUGUUCCAGGAACCAGGGGGCCAUAAAACCUUCUGGCGUCCCCUUAUCUCCUGGAGCCAUAAAACAAUCUUGUAACUUGUGGUACAUUCCCCUUUGACAUCCCCCAUCCCCUGGUGCUCACAGCCUCUGCCUUUAAAUACUCUUUUUCCCAGCCUCUCGGGGUCGACACCUCUGUCUCCUGCGUGGGAUAUGUGUCGGCCCGGAGAUCUCUGUAAUAGGUCUCCGUAAUAAACCUCGCCUUUGCUUAUUACAUCCAAAA
rnacentral:lncRNA from 1 species